GAUGAAGAACGUAGCGAAAUGCGAUAAGUAAUGUGAAUUGCAGAAUUCAGUGAAUCAUCGAAUCUUUGAACGCACCUUGCGCCCUUUGGCUAUUCUGAAGGGCAUGCCUGUUUGAGUAUCAUGAACACCUCAACUCUCAUGGUUCGCCAUGAUGAGCUUGGACUUUGGGGGUCUUGCUGGCCUACGGUCGGCUCCUCUCAAAUGAAUCAGCUUGCCAGUGUUUGGUAGAGUCGCAGGUGUGAUAACUAUCUACGCUUGUGGUUUUCUGCCAGAUAACCUUCAGUGAUGGAGGUUCGCUGGAGCUUAUAAAUGUCUCUCCCCAGUGAGGACAGCUUUUUGAACGUUUGAUCUCAAAUCAGGUAGGACUACCCGCUGAACUUAAGCAUAUCAAUAAGCGGAGA
rnacentral:misc_RNA from 1 species